GAUGAACGCUGGCGGCGUGCCUCAAACAUGCAAGUCGAGCGGGGCUAUGUAAUAUCGCAAGGUAGAACAUAGCCUAGCGGCGAACGGGUGAGUAACACGUGGGUAACCUGCCUGGAAGACAGGGAUAACGAUUCGAAAGGGUCGCUAAUACCUGAUAAUAUCCUUUCAUCGCAUGGUGAUAGGAAGAAAGGGGAAACCCGCUUUCAGAUGGGCCCGCGUCCCAUCAGCUAGUUGGUAAGGUAAAGGCUUACCAAGGCGACGACGGGUAGCCGGUCUGAGAGGAUGUACGGCCACACUGGGACUGAGAUACGGCCCAGACUCCUACGGGAGGCAGCAGUUGGGAAUCUUAGGCAAUGGACGAAAGUCUGACCUAGCGACGCCGCGUGAGGGAAGAAGGGCCUUCGGGUUGUAAACCUCUGUCAUGGGGGAAGAAGUAAGUGACGGUACCCCAAGAGGAAGCCCUGCUAACUAACGUGCCAGCAGCCGCGGUAAAAGUAACUCUAU
rnacentral:rRNA from 1 species